rnacentral:rRNA from 1 species
UGAGCAAUCUGCCCUUCUCAUCGGAAUAAGCGUUGGAAACGACGUCUAAUGCCGAAUACGACCUCCUUUCACAUGAUCGGAGGUGGAAAGCUCCGGCGGAGAGGGAUGAGCUCGCGGCCUAUCAGCUAGUUGGUGUGGGUAACGGCCCACCAAGGCGACGACGGGUAGCCGGCCUGAGAGGGUGACCGGCCACACUGGGACUGAGACACGGCCCAGACUCCUACGGGAGGNAG